GCACCCAGAGCUUAUCGGAAAUUGCUGCUGACGCAGUGAAAACUUGGGCACUUUCUCCACCCAGGGCGUUGGGUGUCCGCCAUCAGCAGCAUCACAGCUGUGACGUUACCGUCAUCUACAUUUAGCCUAUUCAUUUUACAUCCCUGCGAUGGUGUUUAAGUCUACAUCCAGUGAAUAACAGCGAUGGCCUGAAUGGCGCCCCAGCUUCACUUCCAGAAACUCCAACUUCAGUAACUCGGCACACUAGUCUCAUAAAACACAGAUAAAAACUGUGUUAUUGAGAGGUGCAUUUCAUCGUGUACUGAGUGAAGCAGUGAUUAUGUUGCACUCACAGUAAUGCUUCAGUCUAUAAGUGAAGGUUAAUGUUACUUUUCAUAGGCUUCAUCAAUGUGAGUAAUGUGAAAGCCUGAUGUCUACUUAGAUCAUGCUGGAAUGAAUGCACUAUUAGUCUCCAAUUAAAGUAACCUAACAAAAGAAUACAUUUGGCAGCCUACAUUUUUCUUCGUCUGUUGAUCUAAUUAAACGCUGUUUACUUUGUUAUAGAGUCUUUGUCCAGCUGUGUGGCUUUUAAGUACAUAUGUAGAGAUACAAAGGAAGGAAGGAAAAAAACAGAAUAAGCCGUGUGAGAGCUAACGGUUUGGUCGAGAGGGCUGCUGUUCUGUUUACCUUCAAAGGAUGUGUUUAUUUUGAACUCUCUGUGGCAAUCAACAAAGGGAAUUUGAAUGAUGAAGAGUGGGGCUGCUGUGGCUCAGGCGCUAGAGAGGGAUCUCUAGCAAUCAGAGGGUUCCUGUUUAGUAAUUGAAGGGUUUCUGGUUCAAUUCCCGUUGUCCUUGUGCAAGAUACUGAACCUCAAAUUACUCCUGAUGGUUGUGCUGUCGAUGUGUGUACAUGUGUCGGCGGAGCGCAUCAUUGUGAGGGCUUUGGAUAGAAAGUGCUGUAUUGCUUCUGAUGAGCAGGUUGCACCUUGUAUCGGUGUAUGAAUGUGUGAGUGUGUGAAUCUGACAAGUUUGAGUGGUUCGUGGAUGUGAAAAGGUCCAAGUCCAUUUACCAUUUACUGUUAUUUGUCAAAAAUCAUCCAGGAAUCUUUAUAAUUCACACAGUCAUGGGUUUCCCGUACAAAAUGUCUUACUACUACAUGUUUAGCUCCACGGAAAUAUGCAGUUUAGUUUUCCUUUAUUAAGUAUAAUCUCCAUAAUACAUCCAGGAAGAGAUGGUUAAUUAUAUUACUAAAUAUUUUAAAACUCUUAAAAAUCUGUUGUAAAUGUAAUACAUUUCUACAUUUCAGGUGUGGUUUGAGUAAAGAAUGUAUUGAAGAUGGAUAAUGAUGGUAAGGGAGACAAGAUAUUAAUAAUAAUUUUAUUCAUAGAGCACUUUUAAAGCAAUAAGCACAAUGUGCUUUCCAAGGUCAGAAAAUGAAAAAUAUGAGUAACAAAUGCGUGCAAACAAAUACAUGUACACAUGGUUAAUACAUACAAAUAUACAAAGAAAAAAACUCUCAAUGAAAGAAAUAAAGACAAAAUGACUAAACCCGUAUUUCUACAGAGGGUAAACUGUUGAAUGCAGAAUGUUUAUUGUGUGUGUAAGUAAAGGCAUGCACUGCAUUCAUCUCCAUCACCACUCACAUGAUAGAUUGACAAUUAUGUGAUGUGAAUUGUAUGGACAUGCUAGUGUCACAAAAGCACUCAUUAAAAAGCAUAACAUUAUGAGACUGAGGGUGGGGGUGCAUCAAGAACCAAAUUAGAAAACAAUUAGGCCCAAAAUGUACACAGCACCACAGGCAUGCUCAAAAAACCACAAACAUAGUAAUUUGAACAAAUUUGUCAGUGUUAAUUACCUGUGAGAACGGGAAGUAAACUGUGGAAAAUGUUCUCAUUUAACGCCAUUGCACCUGAUCUGCUUGUCUAACUGUAGCUCUCAGCAUGCUGUCAUAUCUGAAAACACUCACACGUAAUGAUUGACAGGGAGAAAUGGCAGGCUGCUCAGCCUGAGUAAUUGACUAUGGAUUGAAAUGACACCAAAAUUUUUAGAGGGAUGAUGUGAUUUCUCCCAUAACAGCUAUCCCUGGGAAUGUGUCUUGUUAAAAUUCAAAGUUGUUACUUUAAGAGGAAUCCAUGUUCUUCUGGUACUUUGUGUGACAGAAAGAGACAGAAGUCUGACAUACUGUAUCCACAUAUUUGCUUCAGUCUGAUCCUCAAAAAUGCAUGCACGCUUGAAAGCCGACUCUUUUUUUUUGCUCUCUUGCCUUGAUCCUUGCCCUCAUUUACUCCCUGUGAUAGCCCAAAAUAACAUCAGAGGUCUUUUAACAACAAAAUAUAAUUAGUUUACAGUCAAAAUCUAACUCUUCAAAGCAGUGAUAAUACAUCUGAACUUCUGUCUGAAGAAGCACAAAAGAAUAGACAAAAUCACUGUCACAUCCCAGUGCCCACAUCACAAUAGUGUUUGAAUGAUGUGCUUAAAAGCCCCAAAAUACAUUAAAAAAUACAAUGUACUUUCACAAUCGUAAAUGUUGCACAGACAGAAAAUACAAGCAACUUGUCCCCUGUUGCCUCUCCAAGGUAUCAUUAUGGCAAACAGCAAGAAUGCGCUAUAAAUAAUAAAUGAAUAUAUCAAAUAACAGAGUGUAAUCCAUUGUUAUGUAAGUGCUGUAUGACAGAAAGUGACUCGUUUACAAAAACAGUACAAAAGUAUAUUUGAAACUUUAAUCAUUUAAGAUAUGAUCAUCAGAAUCAACUUUAUUGCCCAAGUAUGUUGACACAAACCAACGAAAGGAAACUGAUAAUACACUCCCACAGCAUCAUAAACUAAUGCACAGGACAUACACAUACAGACAUAAAGCUAAACAGAUACAGCAAAGCUAUCUUAAAACCUUUAAAUCAUUUUCUUCAAAUUAUAAUCUACUCCUUGUCCCUCUCUGAAAAAUCCAGAAUCAAAAGUUGUGCUGCUUUCUCCUACUUCAGUGAAACAUCCAGAAUAUGUGUGCUGGAGGUUUCAAGUUUCCUCAUUACAUUUCUAUAAGUUGCAUACCACAAGUGGCUUCAAAACUUUGUCCUUUAUUUCACAAAGUCAUGUUUGUAAGUAAAUAAAGCAAAGAGAAACCUAUCCCGUAGAAAACAUAAUUACUGUUAUUGUCUAUUUUGUGUACACAAAUUCUAUAAUAACUAUAUGAAAGUGUCUUUGAUGAGAGAAAGCAGUAAGAAUGUUUAAGUCGUGCUUGAGUGAUGCUCUUUCCUCAUUAAAAGUUUGUCUGUACAUAUAAAGGUCGCAUGAAACAUGUGCUAUUUGCUUCUGCAUAAUUACAUAUUUCCUGUAAAAACAGGCAGCUAGGGAAAGGCCAGCUGUGUGUUACGUUCCCUCAGUCGGGCAGCUCUAGUGGACCCAUUAGCUGACUCUGCCGGAGUGGGAGCUCCCAGUGAACAACAUGGCCAGAACAGGACUGAAUGCAGCAUAGAUGGAGGACAGUUUGAAGACAGGGAAUACAGUACCAAGGGGCCAGUUAAGUCAACUAAUGUUAACUGCACAAGUUAACUAGCUGGCAUUACUUUUGGCAACAGUUCACCUGGAAACUUUGUAACUCACUUCAGUACUGUCAGUCUGUCCUCUGUCAGUCUCGGAGGCUGCUGAGCCCCAUUCGGUUGCACGCUAACGGCAGCUACAUUAGUGUAAAUGAGUUUGUCCUCCCUAUUUUAAUCUUCAAGUGACAAAGAUGUUUCCUGCUUGCAACGCAGGUUGGCGAGGUUGCAUUGUUUUUGAAAGUGUGACUAAGUGUUUAAUAUUGUGACCAUGACAACGGAGCUUCCCUUACCUUAAAGGGUAACACUCUCGUAUUCUGCAAGUCUGUCUUAUCUUAUCUUACUUUACAUUACUUUACCUUACCUUAUCAACGUGAUUAUGUGUACAGGGCAAAAAUAAUAAUUAUGUGUAGAGGGUCUCUUAUAUAAUAGACAUUCUAACCCAAACCACAGUAUUUCCCUAAGUCCUAAGUCUAUAUUGUGCCUAAACCUAACUUAAAGCUAAACUUGUUGUGUUGAGAUAUCAUAAAACAGAUUUUUUUAAUAGUUAUUUAAUAAUUGAUAAUCUUUAUUUUUUGAAGUGUGACCCCUUACAGUAGUAAAACAAUGUGAAACAGAGUAACAAGAUUCCUAAUUCCAUUUACUAAGUUGUGGUGGUUCUGGUUUCAGCCAUUUUUUGUUAUCUGUUUAAGUACUGCUAUUAGAAUUCUAAAAAGAUAUUUAUCAUUUUAUUGAGAGAGAGGCUGUGGUGUUCUAGCAAGUAAUAGUUGUUCAGGUCCUAAAGGAAGUUUACACAGCUCUCAUUUGCUGUUUUAUUUAAUGAUAUUACUUUUACAAGAUAACUUCUCAUUUGUAAAUAUUUAUGGGUUUUUGGUAGAUCAUAUAAUUUUGAUAAAGUCUUGAAAGUAGCUAUUCCUUUAUCUGUAAUUACAUGAUUAUAAUUAAUCAAGCCUUUACUCGCCCAGGUUUUAUAUUUCUUCCAGAGUAGGUUUAAAUUCUUUGUCCCUUACAGUCUCUCUCAUGUAUAUUACAUCUCUUUUGAUAUCCUUUAGUUUUGUAAAAUUUAUCCAAGACAUUAUUGUAUUUUUAUACACACACACACACACACACACACACAAAUAUAUAUAUAUAUAUAUAUAUAUUUUUUUUAAUAUAUCCUUAGUAUUCACUUUGGCAGAUAUAUAUAUUCCAAUCCUUACCCAUUUGUUCAGUUUCCAUUUUUCCCAUUUUGCUGCUGAAUAGUUACCUAGCCAAACUGUAAUUGGUUUGAUAAGGGCAUCAUAGUACGAGUUAAUUAAAUUUGGAAGCGCUAGUCCCCAAUGUGUCUUGAUUAAUUUGAUUUUUAUUCAGGGUUUUUUCCUUCCCCAAAUACAUUUUGUAAACAUUUUUUCCCAUUGGUUUAGUAGUUAUUUAACAGUUUUGGAAGGCACACACAUGAUGUUCCCCUGCUGUCAGAUCAGAAAACUUGUAUGCAUCAUUCUAGAGGGCAUAAACAAACAGCAUGUUUUGUUGAAAGACUUGGUUUGUCAGCACUGUUGCCAGUAGAAAAUAAAGAAAUAUGAGACACAAUAGAAAUAGAGAAAAAAACACUGAAACUACGGACUGUAGCCAGGAGAUGGACCAUUCUAUUUGACCUAGAACCAGUAAGAAGGGCAAAACUGUGGAGGGACCAGAAAUGUUUUGGGUUCAGGCCAUCGCACCUCAGUAGAAGUACCUUUUAAAAGUAACUUGAAGUCAGCUAAAGGACAGCUUUGGUGACCCCACUGUCCUUCAGGUGCUGCUCCUUCAAGCAUGUAAUCCACAUUACGCUGGGCAAGCAACACAUUCAUAGUUGUAGCCAAUCUCUCAAUGUCAGCCAGGAUAGGCUCCAGCUCUCCACACAGAAUAAGAGCGUAUAGAUAAUGGAGGGAGGGAUCAUUUCUAUUGAUUGACUGUAUAAACAGAUUAUUUGAGAUUAAAUGCUUCAUUGGCCAGUGAAAAUAUAAGACAUACUUGUGACCUGACACUUGAUUUGACUUUGGCCUGAAAAAAUAGUAUGCAGCAGUACUUGAGGCUUAUUAUUCUUACAGUAAAUGACAAAAUACGAAAUUAAUCAAGUUAUUCUAAAAUGACUCCUUUCUUUUGCUGAUCUGCAAACCACCAGGGAAAAAUUAUUUCCAUGACUGAGAGAAACCAACACGAACUGUUGGUAGGAGAUGGGGCGUAAACUGUUGACUCUGGGGUCAAAGUCAGACGUUUUGUACAUGAAUACUUCCACUCAAACCUCCCCCUUAGGCUGCUCGAACAAUAAACCAGUACUGUCCCUUUUUGUCUCAAGAGGAGCCAUUGUUCGCACAUCCACAAGAGUAUACUUGAGGAUAGGUCAGGAAAAUGUGAACAUGGGUCGUUUUAAGCAGUUCGAGCAAAAAUGCUGUUGUGCUUCUGGAAAGAUAAUUAUGUGUAUGUAUGUGUGUUUGUAUGUGUACAUGUCAUUUCAGAAAACAGUUCAACCACGUCAUGUCAUUGUUAAAGUCCCCUGACUACCUCGUCCAGCUGUUUGUUUCUGAUGCCAACUCACUAUCUAUUAAUGGAAAUUAUGAUGGAGGGUUGGUGUGAUGUUCCACCUCAUCACCAUGUUGUACCUGUAGCACUGAGGCUGUGUUGAGUAGCUGUUCCCCAGAGUUUUACCAGCUCAAAAAGGUAAAAUUAUCCAUCCAUGUGUGUUGUGACUGCAGUCAUUUAUGUAGCUACUCUGGUGUGAAAAUUUCUAGUUAGGAUUGCAAGCACUGACUGCAGUCAAGAGCCUAUAAAACUCAAUCUAAAAAAUUGGAAAAUUAAAUCAGAAAAAACAUUUUUGCGAGUCUGAGGACUGCCUAGUCCAUCUUUUCUGGAAAUUGGUCAUUGCUCAUUUACUGACACCUGCAGUGGAGUAUAAACUCAGUGUUCCGUGUUAGUCUCACAGCUGCCUGUAUGUGGUAUGAAUUCCCUCUGAAAUAUUGUGAGGUAUGCUUUAGAUUUAGCACUUUUUCUUAACUUGCAAUACCAUUUUAAUAAGACAUAAUUAAUGGCUAUAUCAUGUAUUAUAAAGCCAUAGAUACGGAUUACCUUUAGGUUGAAAGGGUUAUAAAAUGAAUCCAUUUGGUAUAUCCUCCCCCAGCAUAGCUUUGUUAUGUCUUCUUAACAAGUCCUUAGUCCCUAUUUCAUUCUGAAGACCCUUACAGUGGACAGGUUGUCCAUUUCACCUUACUACAGAGCUACAGGCUACAGGGCAUCAACUGCAGACCGGGCUACUGUUGAUAAUGUUAAUGUUGUUAAUUAAGGGCUUUUGGAUUAAUUAGUUCUAGAUCAAAGCAGGUUAUGGCCCCCAUAGUAAAAGAGCACGUAUUUAGCCUAUUCCACUGUAUUAAUUCAAUUAUUCUCAUCUGCUUAAUAAAAGUUUACCUUUUCAUUAACCGUGUUAAAUUAUUAAUCAGAUGCGCUCAUAAUUUUGAACCACGUGCUUGAAUCCUUCUUUAUACAAAGAUAUUUCAAGUUAGUCUGUUUCCUUGUUGCAAUUCCCUUGAACGUGUGUUUCAGCUAGCCUUCAGUAACACAAAGAAGCUUUCAUCCGACAGCAUUAUCUGUUAUGCUCCAGUAUUGUUGGCCUGGAAUCACAAAUGAAGAGGGCAAGUAUAGUAAAGACUAUCUUUCUUUUUUUGUUUGUCUCCCUGACACUUACUGAAUAAAGCCGUCAACUCUC